AACCGUGGUAAUUCUAUGGCUAAUACAUGCGCAAAUAUCUUUUUUCGCAAGAAAGAGGAUAGUGUUUAUUAGAUACAGAACCAAUACACCAUCUGUUAACAGCAGGUGGUGUAAAAAAGGUGAUUCAUAGUAACCGAACGGAUCGCAUUAUGGUCAUUUUAUAUGGCUGGCGAUAGAUCAUUCAAGUUUCUGACCUAUCAGCUUUCGACGGUAGUGUAUUGGACUACCGUGGCAGUGACGGGUAACGGGGAAUUAGGGUUCGAUUCCGGAGAGGGAGCCUGAGAAACGGCUACCACAUCUAAGGAAGGCAGCAGGCGCGCAAAUUACCCAAUCCUGACUCAGGGAGGUAGUGACAAGAAAUAACAACACUGGAAAUUUUAUUUCUAGUGAUUGGAAUGAUGGGAAUUUAAACCCCUUUCAGAGUAACAAUUGGAGGGCAAGUCUGGUGCCAGCAGCCGCGGUAAUUCCAGCUCCAAUAGCGUAUAUUAAAGUUGUUGCAGUUAAAAAGCUCGUAGUUGGAUGUCUGCUGGAAGCAAUCAGUCCGCCCUAUUUGUAGGGUGUGCACUUGAUGAAUUCUGGCA
rnacentral:rRNA from 1 species